rnacentral:rRNA from 1 species
UUCGGAGGUACUCGAGUGGCGAACGGGUGAGUAACACGUGGGCAAUCUGCCCUGCACUUCGGGAUAAGCCUGGGAAACUGGGUCUAAUACCGGAUAGUNNAGACCUCAAGACGCAUGUCUUCUGGUGGAAAGCUUUUGCGGUGUGGGAUGGGCCCGCGGCCUAUCAGCUUGUGGGUGGGGUGACGGCCUACCAAGGCGACGACGGGUAGCCGGCCUGAGAGGGUGUCCGGCCACACUGGGACUGAGAUACGGCCCAGACUCCUACGGGAGGCAGCAGUGGGGAAUAUUGCACAAUGGGCGCAAGCCUGAUGCAGCGACGCCGCGUGGGGGAUGACGGCCUUCGGGUUGUAAACCUCUUUCACCAUCGACGAAGGUCCGGGUUUUCUCGGAUUGACGGUAGGUGGAGAAGAAGCACCGGCCAACUACGUGCCAGCAGCCGCGGUAAUACGUAGGGUGCGAGCGUUGUCCGGAAUUACUGGGCGUAAAGAGCUCGUAGGUGGUUUGUCGCGUUGUUCGUGAAAUCUCACGGCUUAACUGUGAGCGUGCGGGCGAUACGGGCAGACUAGAGUACUGCAGGGGAGACUGGAAUUCCUGGUGUAGCGGUGGAAUGCGCAGAUAUCAGGAGGAACACCGGUGGCGAAGGCGGGUCUCUGGGCAGUAACUGACGCUGAGGAGCGAAAGCGUGGGGAGCGAACAGGAUUAGAUACCCUGGUAGUCCACGCCGUAAACGGUGGGUACUAGGUGUGGGUUUCCUUCCUUGGGAUCCGUGCCGUAGCUAACGCAUUAAGUACCCCGCCUGGGGAGUACGGCCGCAAGGCUAAAACUCAAAGGAAUUGACGGGGGCCCGCACAAGCGGCGGAGCAUGUGGAUUAAUUCGAUGCAACGCGAAGAACCUUACCUGGGUUUGACAUGCACAGGACGCGUCUAGAGAUAGGCGUUCCCUUGUGGCCUGUGUGCAGGUGGUGCAUGGCUGUCGUCAGCUCGUGUCGUGAGAUGUUGGGUUAAGUCCCGCAACGAGCGCAACCCUUGUCUCAUGUUGCCAGCGGGUAAUGCCGGGGACUCGUGAGAGACUGCCGGGGUCAACUCGGAGGAAGGUGGGGAUGACGUCAAGUCAUCAUGCCCCUUAUGUCCAGGGCUUCACACAUGCUACAAUGGCCGGUACAAAGGGCUGCGAUGCCGUAAGGUUAAGCCAAUCCUUUUAAAGCCGGUCUCAGUUCGGAUUGGGGUCUGCAACUCGACCCCAURAAGUCGGAGUCGCAUAGUAAUCGCAGAUCAGCAACGCUGCGGUGAAUACGUUCCCGGGCCUUGUACACACCGCCCGUCACGUCACGAAAGUCGGUAACACCCGAAGCCA